GGGAACCUGACUAAGACGCGAGGUCAAGGUACCAGUUUAGGCACUCACCAUUAGGAAAAUGCAUGUCAUGGUGGCUAAUUCUAGUCUGUCUAGACUUUCUUCAUGUAAUGUUAUAGAUCCAUAGACCUAUAUGGCAUGGUAGCAGGUGCUAGGCGACAAGCGAAUGCUAGUGAGUGUUGCAGCUAUUACAAAUAAUACAUUUUUUGGGUUUCGCGAUCACGGCUGACCCAGGUGACCAGCUGCCUUUGAUUCAAGACCCAACAUGUCUGCACAAAGGGACGCGUGUCUGGCGAGAUCGAGAGACAGUCCGAAUAAAUCUAUAAUGGAGACUGAAUAUGAACUAUCCGAUGAAGCAGAUGAACUUGGUUGUUGAGGGGUUUUACUGGCCCUUGCUAGUGUCUUCAGAAAAUGCACCAUCUGAUGCAGAAAACAAGAGAUUGCUCCAUUGGCUCAAAGACAUCCUUCCUAAUGAGUGAAUAGGAGGAGGAAUUAGUGGGCGAGUUUUACCACUCCCUCACUAGUGGCAUUGUGCCUAAAAAUUAGUUGUGCACCAUAGGCCUGAUGGAAGUCACAGAAGUGUAUACAAUCAAAGAUGUCCUUCCUAAUGAGUGAAGAGGAGGAGAAAUUAGUGAGCCCUGGAAUUCUAUUAGAAGAAGCAGCCCCUGUGCCCAAAAAUAAGCAAUGUACACUAUAGGCCUGAUGGAAGUCACAGAAGUUGGAGAUCUGAAGAAAAUGGUUGUGAGUUAAAAGUAGAAUUCAGUGGAAGAACAGCACUUCUGACUGGAAGGGGGAGGGGUGUUGCAGAGAGACUGCCUCCUACAGUUGGAGUGACGAUCUAGUACAUGGCAGUGUUGCUAUGCAAUGACAUGAUUGGUCAUAGAGCAUACAGAUCAACCAACACCGUUGACCGAGAUUGUGACAGUGACCCAUGAUCUCCAGUCUACAGAAUUCGACACAGCAAUCGAGUCUGUGUCUAUUGAAAGGAAACUGGAAACAAGCCAUGUAGAUAAAAUCACAGAAAAUGGGGAAAUCCGAAGACUAAAAAUGGAUGAAGGCGUUAGAAAAAAAGAAGAUGAAUAAAACUCUCGUACAAUAUGAUUUACAAACUGCAUGAAUGGUGAAGGAGCUGGAGCAAUAGAAUUGGCCUCAAUGGACACCAGGAAAUCACAAUUCACAGUGUAAGAAUUUAGAGGAGUGCAGUUCAACUAAAGCAACACUGCAACAUGUACAUGUAUGUAGAUACUGGAUCUUAACUUGAGAGCGAGAUCAGAGGGUCGGCUUUAUAACCAGGGUUGUUUAUGCCAUGUAGUGUGGUAUGAACGUCAACCAAGUUUAUUUGGCCAAGGUCAAUGUUCUUAGAGAAAAUGUUUAGAAAUAAUGAAUAACAAUAAUUUUGGCCUCUGGUUUAUUAAGCUGAUUUUAGAAUUAGUUUAAGAUUUUAACACCAGACCUGGGGUCAAUUACUUAGUUAUGCAGCAUUUUUUCCCCCUUAUAUAACUGGUACGGAUAAACGGUACUAUUCCCAAUGCCAAAAAAUAUUGAUUUUUCCCAAUUUUGAGACUAAAAAUUUCCAAUUCACCUGCAGAAAAAUAGACCACUGACAUCGUAAUUUACUUUGUCUGAAAUGUUGUACAAGUUAACUAAAAUGUUCACUUCUGUUAUUAAAUCGAAAGUACAGAUCAUGGCAGUGCGUGUGUUGUAGAACUAUGACAAUUUUAGAACGAGCCUACGACAAUUCCUAAUGUCUCGCAACAGCAAAUAUCACCUUAAAAAAUUGUUUUGUUCUUUAUUUUUAGUUGAAAUCAAUUACUGAUACAUUGGUAGAAAAUUCCCAAUUUGUUCGAUUUUGACGCUAUUUUUCCCAAUUUGAAUGGGUACUGGUACCAGUGUGUAGGAAAAAAAUGCUGCUAUGUAAUGCUUUACAUUACGAUUACAAACGUCAACCAAGUUUCUUAGGCCAAUGUUGUUAGGGAAAAUGUUUAGAAAUAACAAUGAUUUUGGCCUCAAGCUUAUUAAGCUGAUUUUAGAACUAGUUUAAGAUCUCAUCAGCAGGCCUGGGGUCAGUUACAUAGCUAUGUAAUGCAUUACAUUACACAUUACUGGGGAGUGCAUUACAUUACACAUUACUGGGGAGUGCAUUACAUUACACAUUACUGGGGAGUGCAUUACAUUACACAUUACUGGGGAGUGCAUUACAUUACAUGUUACAUAACAUUCUGAUUUUGAAGAAAUGGUAGAAAAAUUAUUUCUCUAUAAUGAUUCUUGAAUUUUAAUUAUACAGUAACUUAUGCAGCAAACAAAAUAUUCAUCAAUGUUAGGAAACACAUCUAAGUUAUUCAUUGUAUUUGAUUUUCAUCAAUGUUUUAAACGUGUAUAUAAUGAAUUAAUCUAAACCUCCAACAUGUCCAAAAUAUCAUCAUUUAUUUGAAGUAAUGUAAAUGUAAUGGAAUGAAAUGUGCAAUAUAGUAUAUUUUCUACAAGUAAUGCAUUACAUUAUGCAAAAAUGGUCCAUUAGGCCAAAUAAAGUAAUAUGUGUGGUUCCGGUUACACUCUCUUGAAAAAUAGGGUAGGUAUGGAUUUUAGUUUAAGGUCGGGGGUAAAAUUAGGGACGGUCGAGUAACCGGAAACACACAUAUUUUUUUUAUUUGGCCUUACACCCCAUCACACUGAAAUUGGUUGUCAUUACACAUUACCAUUACCCCAGGCCUGCUUAACACUUUCUUCAGUGCAGUUUCGCUGAACUAGUGUAAUAUUUCUUAGAAAUUUUGGUGCUUUUACACAUUGCCAAAUUGUGCUCACUUGAUAUUGUAUAUAUAUAUCGUGGUAUUUUUAUACUGUAUAUAAUGAAGCAACAUUGGAACUGAUAGACUAACACAUUAUGUCAUUGUUAUUAUUGUGAACUAACAUAAUUUGGCCAAGGUCAAACCACUGAUGAAAAAGUUUGGUAAAAGUAAUUUCUCUUGACAGAUGUUUGAUUGAUUGCUUAUUGUUUAAUGUUCCACUCGAGAAUUUUUCUCUCAUAUGGAGACGUCACCAUUGCUGGUGAAGGGCUGCAAAAUUUAGGCAUAUGUUCGGCGCUUACGGUCUUUGAGCAGAGAGGGAUUUUUACAUGCCACUGCUGUGACACAGGACAUCGGUCUUUGCAGUCUGAUCCGAAGGACUGCCCAUUCAGUCGCCUCUUUCAACAAGCAAGGGAUACUUUGACCAUGGCUUUGUACUAAAGCAACAAAGAAAUUUCAUAUCUGAAAUAAAGGUUCCUUAAGAUGGAGGAAGGUCAUUUUCACAGGGUUAAGAUCAUCAGCAAAAUUGUUAAAAAUAUUUCUCAGUGGCAUGAAAUUUACUUAACGUAAUGGAAAGACAUGGCUUCAUAUUUUGCACAAAAGUUGAUUAUGCUAAGGAAGUAUGUUUUACAUUAAGCCAUGUUCAAUAGGUCCUCUGUACCCCUUGCUUGUUGUAAGAGGUGAAUGAAUGGGGCGGUCCUUUGGAUGAGACUGUAAAAACCGAGGUACCUUGUCACAGCAUGUGUGGCACGAUAAAGAUCGCUCCCUGCUCAAUGGCCAUAAGCGCCGAGCAUAGGCCUGAAUUUUGCAGCCCUUCGUCUCCAUAUGAGUGAAAGAUUCUCAAGUGGAACGCUAAACACUAUACAACCAAUCAAUCAACCAAGGUCAAGGUAGUUUACAGAAAUACAAGCUGAGAUGGGUCAUAAUUUUGUUAAUGAGACACGUUAAAAGAUCAUUUCUUUGCAUCACGAAAACUUAAUGACUCCCAUUUUAUAGGUUAUAUGGGGAAAAACAUCAUCAUUAGCAAGCUGUACUUCUUAUUUUGGGUUUUAGUUGUGUGUGAUACUCAGGUUAACGAUAAGGCCCAUGUGCCUUUUGUUUGAUAUUUGAAUUUCGUAGACAGUUUUCUGGAAGGAUAUGAAAAGUGGGUUAUAUCCAAUGCAAUUCUUCUGUCCUUUGAUUUCAGUUUAUCAGUGCUAGAAGCAAUUGGUCACUUGGACCCUCAACUUACAGUGUACAUUUUUAUGCCCCCCUUUGAAAAAGAGGGAGCAUAUUGUUUUGCAAAUGUUGGUCGGUCGGUCUGUAGGCCAUGUGUUGUCCGCUCAAUAUCUUUCGACCCCUUUGCUUGAUAACAACCAAACUUGGUACAGGGGUUGCCCCUGGAGAGUAGAUGAUCCUUAUUGAUUUUCAGGUCACAUGGUCAAAGGUCAAGGUCAAACUGCUGGUAUUUACCCCAUGUGGUAGACCAUGUGUUGUCCACUCAAUAACUUUUGACCCCUAUGCAUGAUAACUACCAAACUUGGUACAAGGGUUGCCCUUGGAGAGUAGAUGAUCCCUAUUGACCUUCAGGUCACAUGGUCAAAGGUCAAGGUCAAACCUCUGGUCUUAAGCCCAUGUGUUGUCUGCUCAAUAUCUUUUGACCCCUUUGCUUGAUAAUAGCCAAAAUUGAUACAGAGGCUUUCCUUAGAGAGUAGAUGAUCCCUAUGGAUUUUCAGGUCACAAGGUCAAGGUCAAACUGCUGGUCUUAACCCCAUGUGGUAGACCAUGAGUUGUCUGCUCAAUAUCUUGAGAACCAUUCACUUGAUUGUAAUGAUAUUUCAUAUGUGGGUUUGUUAUAAAAAGAAGAGGAUCCCUAUUGUUUUUCAGGUCAAAAGGUUAAAGGUCAAGGGUCAAUCUACUCUAGACAUAGGAAUAUACUGUCUGCUCAAUAUCUUGAGAACCCUUUGCUUGACAGUCAUCAGACUUGGUACAUUGGUAUAUCAUCAGGAGAAGAUGACACCUAUUGAUUUUGAGGUCACAUGGUCAAAGGUCAAGGGUCAAAUUGGACAUAGGAAUAUACUGUCCAGUCAAUAUCUUGAGAACCCUUUGCUUGACAGACAUCGAACUUGGUACACUGGUACAUCUUCAGGAAAAGAUUACCCCUAAUGAUUUUGAGGUCACAUGGUCAAAGGUCAAGGGUCAAACUGGACAUAGGAAUAUACUGUCCCUUCUAUAUCUUGAGAACCCUUUGCUUGACAGACAGCAAACUUGGUACACUGGUACAUCUUCAGGAGUUGAUGACCCCUAUUGAUUUUUAGGUCACAUGGUCAAUCCACUCUUGACAUAGAAAGAUAUUGUCUGCUCAAUAUUUUGAAUUGAUGAUAGUACUCUCAAUUAAAUGAUGUGUGUGUGUGUGUAUAACCCUUUUCAAUUUUGGACCAUGGGGGGCAUAUGUGUUUUACAAACAUCUCUUGUUACUGAUCAUUUGAUGACUUACUGUCCCUUCACUCAAGAAGAUAUGAAAAUAACUGGCUUAUAGUCCAUAUUCAAUAAUAAUGAAACAUUUUCAUGAUUAGAUCUAAUGUCGUGUUUAUUCAAACUAACAUUAAAAGUUGGUUUAGAAGAUGUGGUAAUCUUAUUACUCUUAUCCAUAUCUUUCAAUCAUAAAAAUAGUCCUGUUUUUCACUUAAACUUAUAAAAGUAGUCCAUGUUUUUCACUCCAUCAUUGGAAAAUAGUCGACGCCAUCUUUACCUUUUUGUGAAAGUGUAAUGUCACCGGAUUAUGAAAGCGUAAUAAAUUAAACAACUCUUGGGGAAACUUGCAGCUGUUGCUAGAUAUACAACUCCUCCUGUGACUCAAGUGUAAAGGAAUCAAAGGCAAUCAUUCCCUUUUCCACCUUUGUAAUAAUCUAACGCAGUCAGAGACUAUCAUCUCAUUUCUUAUUCUCUGAUGUAUAUGGGAUGUUCCAUUGUAUGGUCAGGACAUGGAUAAUGUACGAAAUUAUCAUAGCUGUACCUGUGUUCGACAUCCCGACCAUCAAUUCUCCAGUAGAGGGGAGCAGUACCCACAGUCUGGUCUCCAUGGUGAUGAGGUUUCUAACAGCGUGGUGACUGUUUUAUUGUCUGUAUACAGUUUGUUGGUGUUAAUCACCAGGUAGCACAUAUUUAUUUGUAUACCCCAUGUAAGAAGUUGUGGAGGGAAUUUUUUAUUAGUCUUGUCAGUCCUCUUCUUGUUGGUACAAUUACUCUGAAACCACUGAACAGAAUUCAAAAAACUUUAUAGCACAUAAUGAAUAUGGACACACUGUGUAAAUUAGUACAUAAGCAAAGAAAAAUAUUGUCAAACUUUGGUGCCAAUAUGUAGCUUCCAAUUUUGGACCAGAACAAUUAUCGCCACUGCACCACGACCCCAGGCAGUCAGACACAUCAUAUCCAUUCCUGUUCUCUGUGAUGUAACGAGGAUGACCACACUAUGUGUGACUUGUGUUGUGAAAUGUUCUGUUUAAUGGGCAGGGCGUAUUGUCCACAACUAAUGCACCACAUUACUUUUCUUGUACCACUGUUUAACAUCCCGACCAUCAGAUCUCCAGUAGACGUGGAUGGUGUAAUGCACCACAUUACUUUGCUUGUACCACUGUUUAACAUCCCGACCAUCAGAUCUCCAGUAGAGGUGGAUGGUGUAAUGCACCACAUUACUUUGUUUGUACCACUGUUGAACAUCCCGACCAUCAGAUCUCCAGUAGAGGUGGAUGGUGUAAUGCACCACAUUACUUUGUUUGUACCACUGUUGAACAUCCCGACCAUCAGAUCUCCAGUAGAGGUGGAUGGUGUAAUGCACCACAUUACUUUUCUUGUACCACUGUUGAACAUCCCGACCAUCAGAUCUCCAGUAGAGGUGGAUGGUGUAAUGCACCACAUUACUUUGCUUGUACCACUGUUUAACAUCCCGACCAUCAGAUCUCCAGUAGAGGUGAUUUUUACACACAGCGUGGUAACCAGUGGUGGAAAACUCUCUCACAGGGUGGUGACUGUCUGAUUGUCUAUAGACAGUUUGUUGGUGUUGAUUAUCAUGUAGCAUUGAUAUAAUUUACAUCCCAUGAAAUACAUUGCGAAAGGCAUUUCUUAUGACCUGUCAGUCUGUCCUGUUCUUGUUAGAGCAACUCCUCUGAAACCAUAGAAUAGAAAUUCUGUUGAAUGGUCAGGACGUCUUGUCCACAAGUAAUGCACCAUAUUACUUCGCUUGUACCACUGUUGUGUAUCCCGACCAUCAGAUCUCCAGUAGAGGUGAGUGAUACACACAGCGUGGUAACAAGUGGUGGAAAACUCUCUCACAGGGUGGUGACUGUCUGAUUGUUCAUAGACAGUUUGUUGAUGUUAAUUACCGUGUAGCAUUGAUAUAUUUUACAUCCCAUGCAAUAACUUGCAGAAGGCAUUUCUUAUGACUCGUCAGUCUGUCCUGUUCUUGUUAGAGCAACUCCUCUGAAACCAUAGAAUAGAAAUUCAUGAAUCUUUAUGGUUGAUAAAGAUUAAAGACAUACUGUGUAAAUCUGUAUAUGUAAGAAGUUAAUCUUUACUGUCAAUAUGAUGCAUCCAAUGUUGGACCGGAACAAGUAUUGCCACCUAAUAGAAAACGGGAACGUAUCUUGCUGCUAUCUCCCAUUUUCAAAAUGCACUAUUAUUAUGUGACGUACCCGCCCUUUCUGCACAGUCAUUCAGAAAGUCACAGACCCUCCGAAGUUGUGUAAUGCAGCUUAGCCAGAGAGCAGAUAAAUUAGGAAGGAUUAAUUUAAACAAAUUUUUGCGAUUUCUUAAUUUGCCGAUUUUUAUUUAUCUUGGGUUUCUAUCACUUGGUGAUGUCUGUGGACACUAAUGUUGAGGAAAUUGCACCGAUAUCCUCAUAGAGACCUACAACUGAUAUGUCUUAAACAUACCAGAUUUAGAUUGAUUGAUUGUAUCUUGCUUAAUGUCUCACUCAAGAAUUUUUCACUCAUAUGGAGACGUUACCAAGACCGGUGAAGGGCUUCAAAUUUAGGCACUUACGGCCAUUGAGCAGUGAGGGUUCUUUAGUGUGUCACACCUACUGUGACACAGACCAUCCGCUUUUAAGAUCAUCUCCGAGGACCUGUGACAUUUACACCGAAUGCUGAGCAUUUGGCGAUGGAACUGUCACUACCUGUCUGUCGCGGCCAGGAUUCGAACCCCGACCUUCCGCAUGCGGGGCAAACGUGCUAACCUCUCGACCACUGCCGCGGUUCCAGAUUUAGUAAACCUUUCAAUAACCAACAUCUGGAAAAAUUGUUAUCAGACGCAAUUGCAUCCAACAUGAACAAUAGUACAGCCUGGUUCUCAAAGUAUUUGUUGAAUAUCCCCAUUGUCUGUUGCCACUGCACUAUGACUCCAGUCGGACAUAAUAGCCAUUCCUGUUCUCAGUGAUGUAUUUAGGAUCGAUAUACAGUGUGUGACUUUUGUUGUUGUGUUGAAUGGUCAGGACAUGCUGUCCACAACUAAUUUUGUUGUCAAUGUGUCGCAUUCACUCUUGCACCGGAACAAGCAUCGUCGCCUAGCAGGAUAAGUUAAUGCAACUCUCUGCUUCCCCAUUUCAGAUAAUAUUCUAUUAAUUAGCCUGUGAAGCAUCCACGCAGCCUUGCAGGGUUAAUCAGAAAAUUGCGGACACGCUGGAGUUGUUUAAUCUUGAGGAAUUUAGGAGAAAUCAUCAUCAUAGCCAGAGAGCAGGCAAAUUAGAAGAUGAUUAUGCUAAUUAAAGAAAGCAUGAUGAUUUCCUUUUUGCUGAUUUUCCUUUUAAUCUUGGUUUCAGUCACUAGAGAGGAGUAAUACACACAGCUUCGUAACCAUGGUGAUAAACUCUCUAACAGUCUGAUGACUGUCUUAGGGCUGUUCCAUUAAAACAUAUGAGGUACCCGGGGACGGCAAUUAAAAAAAAAUCUAUGGGUGCUUGUCAUUGGUAGAAAAUUGCAUAUAUGGUGGGUACCUACUGCCAGAAAACUGCAUCUGUGGGUGGUUGUUUUGAUAAAAUCUUUAUUUUUUACCGAAACUGAGAGGAAUGCAACAAGAGAAGGGAAGGGUUGAAAGUAGAAUGUGAAACAAACGCCGUUUUCUGUCUCCAUUUUAUCUCGGUCGAUGAGGUUCCGCGAUCCGGUUAUUCUUUCCAGUUUGACUCUAAAAUUAUAGCGACCGGAAAUUAGGAUUAUCUCCCUUGUCCAAAAUGGAAAACGAAACUUGCUCGUGGUCCAUUGAAACGGUUUUUGAUUUUUUUCUAGCUGCAAUAAUGUAGCCCUGUUCAAUUUUUUUUAUUCUGACGUUUUCGGGAUGAGGCUACAAUUCCAUAGGAUCUCCGUAAUGGUGCAAAAUAAUUUUAUGAAUAACCGAUAAUAAACUCUGCACUGUGUAUUAGUGACAUAUAGUCCCAAAUGUUGUUUACAAAUUACACCAAAAGGAGUACCAACUUUGUGCUCGGGCAUGUCUAAUAAAGGUGUUUUUCAUUAAAUAUAAUGUACAGCAUGCAAAAUUCUUCGUCUGCUCCGCCAUGCUUGUUAUCGCGAAAUCUCGUAGGUGGAUCUAAUGAAAAAGCUAAACAUUGACAAUCGGCGCGAAAAUGUAGUUUACUUGAGAAUUUACACUCUGCUGUUCGGUUUUUAACUUGAUAUUAAAUUCAAACCUUUUCAAUACCGACGAAAUAGCUUUCGCCUCCAUACUUGUCCAUUGAUGUAAAUACUACUUUAUAUGACAUAUGCAAAUGACUUGACAAUCGGAAGUUGAAACUUCAGUACACCAAACAUGGCGCACAAAUAUGAAUCGAGAAAUUGGAAUUUAUCGAAAUUGUUGAAAACGGUAGAAUAGAGCCUCACAAAUCUUAAGUUGCAGGUUGUAAAUUUAUAUAUUGACUAAGAAACAUAGAAUAUCAUUUUAUUUACGUAAAGAGACACAUUUUCUUGUUUUUUAAUACUCAAAAUACUAGUCAAUUUUAAAACUUUUAAUAGUUGUUUUUGAACAUUUACAAUACUGGACUUUUUAUGAACAGGUAGACUUAUAAAAUUAAUUUAGUUCAUCAUGUUUAAGAAAGACAGUCUUGAUAAAAUAAAUUGAUGGUUCUAUGAUCAAGCUUCAUUGAUGGCCAGUUAUUUGAAUGGUGGUCAUACCCAAGAUACUCUUCUCUUUACUAUCAUGCUUGGGAACAUCUGAAAAUAGACCUCUAUUCAAGGGUUAUAAAUAGUCAUUCAUACAUAUUGAACUUAAAGAAAAAGUGUAUUUCACAUUUAUUUCACUUCUAUGGGUGGUGCCGCACUAUCUAAAAUUGCUUCUGUGAGUGGUCCCUCAUUACAUUUUUAUGCUUCUAUGGGUGGUUACCCAAAUUUUAAAGUGCCUUCCCCGGGUACCUCAUAUGUUUUAAUGGAACAGCCCUUACUGUCUAGUGCACUAUUGAGUAUUAUUUGACAUGCCCACCCACUCUUUGCAUUGUCAAUCAGAAAAUCUCAGAUCCUGCAAAGGUCUAUAAUGUAGAGAAUUUUCAGCUUAACUAUUAAGGAAACAAACUAGAAAAGGAUUAUGUUAAAUAAAUCACGAUGGUUUCCUAUGUUGCCAGUUUUAAUUUAAACCUCGACUUCAAUCACUUAAGCUAUGUCUGUGGACAAUGAUGUUGAGGAAAUCAUUAAGGUUGAAGUUGAGACAUCGACGUAGCUGAUUUGUCUGAAAAACAUUCAAUAUUUGGAAAACCUGUUGAUGACUGAGAUCUUCAAGAAUUGUUAUCAAAGGCAAUUCCAUGAAAAACGAACAAAAGGAAGACAUGAUUCUCAAAGUCUGUGUAGAAUGUCCUAGCGGUUUGUGGACGCUGCACCACGACCCCAGUCAGACGCAACAUCAUCUCCUUUCUUGUUCUCUGUGAUGUAGCGAGGAUGAUAUCCCCACGUGUGACAUGUGUUGUUCUGUUGAAUGGUCAGGACAUAUUGUCCACAACUAAUGCACCACAUUACUUUGCUUGUACCACUGUUUAACAUCCCCACCAUCAGAUCUCCAGUAGAGGUGGAUGGUGUAAUGCACCACAUUACUUUGUUUGUACCACUGUUGAACAUCCCGACCAUCAGAUCUCCAGUAGAGGUGAGUGGUACACACAGCGUGGUAACCAUGGUGAUAAACUCUGUAACAGUCUGAUGACUGUCUGAUUGUUCAUAGACAGUUUGUUGGUGUUAAUCACUGUAGCAUUGAUAUAUUUUACACCCCAUGCAAUAAGUUGUGAAAGGCAUUUCUUAUGACCUGUCAGUCUGUCCUGUUCUUGUUAGAGCAACUCCUCUGAAAACAUAGAAUAAAAAUUCAUGAAUCUUUAUGGUUGAUAAGGACAUACUGUGUAAAUCUGUAUAUAUAAGAAGUUAAUCUUUACUGCCAAUAUGAUGCAUCCAAUCUUGGACCGGAACAAGUAUUGCCACCUAAUAGGAAACAGGAACUUAUCUUGCUUCUAUCUCCCAUUUUCAAAAAUGCACUAUUAAUUAUUAUGUGACGUACCCGCCCUCUCUACGUACAGCCAUUCAGAAAGUCACAGACUCUCUGGAGUUGUGUAAUGUAGCUUAACCUGAGAGGAGAUAAAUUAGAAAGGAUAAAAUUAAACAAAUUAUGGUGAUUUUCUUAAUUUGCCGAUUUUUUUUUUUUUUUUUAUCUUGGGUAUCUAUCACUUGGUUAUGUCUGUGGACACUGAUGUUGUGGAAAUUGCACCGAUAUCCUCAGACAACUGAUAUGUCUUAAAAACAUACCAGAUUUAGAAAACCUUUAAAUGACCAACAUCUGGAAGAAUUGUUAUCAGACGCAAUUCCAUCAAACACGAACAAAAGUACGCCUGUCUCUCAAAGUAUUUGUUGAAUACCCCUGUUGUCUGUUACUACUGCACCACGUCUCCAGUCAGAUACAAUAUAUCCAUUCUUGUUCUCAGUGAAGUAUUUAUACAACAUAUGACUUGUUCUGUUGAAUGGUCAGGACGUGCUAUCAACAACUAAUGUAUCCGAUUAUCUUUCCUGUACCUGUGUUAAACAUCCCGACCAUCAGAUCUCCAGUAGAGGGGAGUAGUACACACACUGUGGUCUCCAUGGUGAUAUACUUUGGAAGAGUAUGGUGGCUGUUCUUGUCCACAGACAGUUUGUUAGUGUUAAUCGCCAUAUAGCAUUGAUAUAUUUUACAUCCCAUGCAAGAAGUUAUGGAGGGUAUGUUUAUGACCCGUCAGUCAGUCUGUCCUGUUCGUGUCAGAGCAACUACUCUAACAGCAAGUAUACGAUUAGAAAAAAAAUUAAUAAAUUUUAUUGUCAGUGUGUCGCAUCCACUCUUGGACCGAAACAAACAUCGGCGCCUAGCAGGAUAAGUUAAUGCAACUCUCUGCUUCCCCAUUUCAGAUAAUAUUCUAUUAAUUUUCCUGUGAAGUAUCCAAGCAGCCUUGCACGGUUAAUCAGAAAAUUGCGGACACGCUGGAGUUGUUUAAUCUUGAGGAAUUUAGGAGAAAUCAUCAUCAUAGCCAGAGAGCAGACAAAUUAGAAGAUGAUUAUGCUAAUUAAAGAAAGCAUGAUGAUUUCCUUUUUGCUGAUUUUCCUUUUAAUCUUGGUUUCAGUCACUAGAGAGGAGUAAUACACACAGCUUCGUAACCAUGGUGAUAAACUCUUUAACAGUUUGAUGACUGUCUUACUGUCUAGUGCACUGUUGAGUAUUAUUUGACAUGCCCACCCACUCUUUGCAUUGUCAAUCAGAAAAUCGCAGAUCCUGCAAAGGUCUAUAAUGUAGAGAAUUUUCAGCUUAACUAUUAAGAAGACAAAUUAGAAGAGGAUUAUGUUAAAACAGAUCACAAUGAUUACUUAUGUUGUCAGUUUUAAUUUAAACCUCGACUUCAACCACUUAAGUAUGUCUGUAGACAAUGAUGUUGAGGAAAUCAUUAAGAUAGAAGUUGAGACAUGGACGUAGCUGAUUUGUCUGAAAAACGUACAAUAUUUGGAAAACCUGUUGAUGACUGAGAUCUUCAAGAAUUGUUAUCGAAGGCAAUUCCAUGAAAAACGAACAAAAGUAAGACAUGAUUCUCAAAGUCUGUGUAGAAUGUCCUCACGGUUUGUGGACGCUGCACCACGAUCCCAGUCAGACGCAACAUCAUCUCCUUUCUUGUUCUCUGUGAUGUAGUGAUGAUGACAACAUCACAUGUGACAUGUUCUGUUGAAUGGUCAGGACAUAUUGUCCACAACUAAUGCACCGCGUUACUUUCCUUGUACCACUGUUGAACAUCCCGACCAUCAGAUCUCCAGUAGAGGUGGAUGGUGUAAUGCACCACAUUACUUUGCUUGUACCACUGUUUAACAUCCCCACCAUCAGAUCUCCAGUAGAGGUGAGUGGUGUAAUGCACCACAUUACUUUGUUUGUACCACUGUUGAACAUCCCGACCAUCAGAUCUCCAGUAGAGGUGGAUGGUGUAAUGCACCACAUUACUUUGCUUGUACCACUGUUUAACAUCCCCACCAUCAGAUCUCCAGUAGAGGUGAGUGGUGUAAUGCACCACAUUACUUUGUUUGUACCACUGUUGAACAUCCCGACCAUCAGAUCUCCAGUAGAGGUGAGUGGUACACACAGCGUGGUAACCAGUGAUGGUAAACUCUCUCACAGUUAGGUGACUGUCUGAUUGUCCAUAGACAGUUUGUUGGUGUUAAUCACCAUGUAGUAUUGAUGUAUUUUUAUACCCCAUACAACAUGUUGGGAAGGGUAUAAUGAUUUUGACCUAUCAGUCAGUCUUUUUCUUUUCGGCGGAAGUACAAGGAAACCGCCCAAAAGAAUUUCAUAAAACUAUUGCUAAUAAGGACAUACUGUGUAAAUUAAUAAAUGGGCAAAGAAAAAAAUUGUUAAACUUUAUUGCCGAAAUGUCUCAUCUAUUCAUUCGGGACAAGUAUCGCCAUCCAGUAGGAAACUGGAACAUGACUCAAUGUUGACUCCCAUUUCAGAAAAUACACUAUCAUGAAUUGUCUUGCCUGCCCAGUCCUUACGCAGUCAUUCAGAAAAUCUCAGACGCUCAGGACUUUUGUAAUUUUUUAAGUACUGUAGAUGAAUGUCUUCAACUUAGCCAGAAAACAGACAGAUUAGAAGAGGUUUAUUUAAUAUUGUAAAAAAAAACCCAAAAACUAUUAACAGAGGCAAUGCCAUCCCACACGAUCAAAAGAACGGCCUGAUUCUCAAAAUAUUCGUCACUGCACCACUACCCCAGUCAUACGCAAUAUCAUCUCCACUCUUAUUCUCUGUGUUCUAUAAAGGAUGCCUAUACAACAUGUGACCGGUGUUGUUCUGUUGUAUGGUCAGGACGUGUUGUCCACAACCAAUGCACCAGAUUAUUAUAGCUGUACCUCUGUUCAACAUCCCGACCAUCAGAUCUCCAAUAGAUGGGAACGGUAUACACAGUCUGGUCCCCAUGGUGAUGAUCUUAACAGUCUGUUGACUGUUUUUGUCCACAGACAGUUUGUUGAUGUAAAUCGCCAUUAGCAUACAUAUCUGUAUUUUUAUACCGCAUGUAACAAGUUGGGGAAGGUGUAAUAUUUUUGACCUAUCAGUCCUAUUCUUGUCAGCAACUUCUGUGAAACUGCGUAACAGAAUUUCAUUUAAACUUAAUAGUUAUUAAGGACUUGCUGACGACGAGCAGAUCUCAAUAGAGAGGAAUAGUACACACAGCAUGGUAACCAUGACGAUAAACACUCCCACAGUCUGGUGACUGUCUGAUUGUCCAUAGACAGUUUGUUGGUGUUAAUCGCCUUGUAGCAUUGAUGUAUUUUUAUACCCUAUGUAACAAUUCCUCAUGACCCGUCAGUCAGUCAGCUCUUCUCCUCAUUGCAACAAAGGGUAUUUUUUAUGACCCAUCAGUUAAUCAGUCCUCUUCCUGUCAGUGUAACCGCUGUGAAACCGCUCAACAAAUUUUCAUGAAACUUUGUAAUUAAUAAGGACAUACUGUGUAAAUCAUUCUAUGAGCAAAGAAAUUAUCAAACUUUAUUGGCAAUAUGUGGCAUCCAAUCUUGGACCAGGACAAACAUCGCCGCCGAACAGGAAAUGGGAAUGCAACUCUCUUCCAACUCCCAUUUCAGAAAUGCACUAUUAAUUAUCGCGUAACGUACCUGCCCAAUCCUUGCGCAGUUAUUCAAAAUAUUGUGGACACUCUGGAGUUGUGUAAUAUAGAGGGGAAUCUUCAGCCAGAGACUAGAGGACGACUUUCAAUCAAAUGAUUUCCUAUUUUGCUAAUUUUAAUUUUUGAUAUCGGAUUCACUGACUUAGCGUUGACGGUGGAAACUGAUAUUGAAGAAAUCACUGAUAUCGGACAUAUUUAUAGCUGAUUUGUCUGAAAAACAUACCAGGAUUUAAAAACCUAUUGAUGACCGAGAUCUGGAAAACUGUUGUCAGAUGCAAUUCGAUAGAACACGAACAAAAAGUAUGGCCUUUCUCUCAAAGUAUUUGUUGAAUAUCCCCAUUGUCUGUUGCCACUGCACCAUGACUCCAGUCAGAUACAAUAUCAUAACCAUUCCUGAUCUCAGUGAUAUAUUUAGGAUAGAUAUACAGUGUGUGACUCUUGUUGUUGUGUUGAAUGGUCAGGACGUUCUGUCCACAACUAAUGUAUCCGAUUAUCUUUCCUGUACCUGUGUUAAACAUCCCGACCAUCAGAUCUCCAGUAGAGGGAAAGUAGUACACACCCUUACGGAAUUGCAGCAUAUUUGAAGUACACAUGCAGCACAGAAGCAAUACAAAAUCCCAGCACACUAUCAGUACAACUCCAGCAUUACUGCAAGUGUGCUCCAUAACUUUUAAAUGGAAGAAUACAUGGAAGCAGCGCAAUUGCAGCGUGUUUCAAAUAUGUAAAUUAGGACUGCAUUUGUACUGCAAAAAAAAAAAGACUGCUGUGCAGUAUAUGCUGCCUUGCAGCGCAUGUGCUGAUUUGCAGUACAUAUGCCAUAUGUACUGCUCUGCAGUACAUGCUGGCCUGCAGUACUACUUUAGUACUGCUAUGCAGUACAUCAUACCAAAUAUGGACACGUGGUUUGCAGCAUGUUUCAAAUAUGUUAAUUAGGACUGCAUUUGUAUUGCAAAGCAGUACGCCAUACCAAAUAUGGACAGUGGUUUGCAGCCCGUUUCAAAUAUUUAAAUUAGGACUGCAGUUAGACUGCAAACUGCGCUGCUUUAAAGUACAAAUGUGUUCUAUAUAGUGCCUUAAUUAAUUUGCGGGAUAUUUCAAAAUGUAAAACAACAAAUGUUCUAUAUCAAUUAAUGCAUAUAUAUUCAGGAUUAAACUCAUUAAACAUACAUUCAUAAAUGAAGACAAAGACCAUGGUUCAGAUAGAAACAUGAUUAAAGAUGUAGAUCUAAAUAUACUAAAAAUAAUAAUACAUGUAAUAAAAAUAACUAUUUAUAUCUAUAGUAUGAAUGUAUUCAACUAGGCUCUAUUCAAUUCUGUUCAAAAUUAAGGUCAAUUAGCUGUCCUCAAGCAAAAAAUUAGUGCAAUAAAUUCUUGAACAUGUAUAUCGUACUCCAUAUUCCUUAUGCGUCCUAUUUCAACAAUUUACCACCGAUUUACCAGCCUUCAUGCCCAUGGUCUCCACUCUCUCCUUGACUUUAGGCCUACUGAUUUUCCGCGUUGCGGUGGGGGACAAUAAACCUUGUUUACCUUUCUUAAUGAAAAAUAAAAUCACCAAUUUCUAAUUAAAAAAAACAACACUACUCACUAAAAGAAACAAUAAUGAUUAUGAUUUUGUCACCAGAAAAUUACAAGUCCUAGCUAUAUCACUUAUGAUGUUUGAGUUGGUGUCCUCGUCUUAGCUCUUGCGGAUGUGAGUUUAGAUGCCAUUGCAUGGCGUAUUGCGCCUUUCGUUGCAGAGGACCUCAGUGCUGAAAAAUCUGAAAAAUAUAAUAUCAAUAUAUAUUAUAUGAAACUACUAGUAGUUUUAUCUUGGUUGUAAGCUCAUGCAGUGACUAAGUUAAGCUUUAUAUGAAGAUCAUAACAAUGACAUAGAAAGACCAUUAACAAUGUCACCCGUUAUGAAAUGGCCUAAAAAGGAUAUUAUAACCUAAUCCUCUGUUUUUUAAUAUUCAGUAAAGAAAACUUACUGAUGAUAGCCUCUGUAAUAAUUUCAUCAAGGAGUCUCUUGCCUUUGGCAAGAGGGGAAAGGGUGGUAUUUGGGAAAUCUUUUUUGGAGAAAACACAUUCAUCAAAAGUUUUGCAAUCCUCUUUCCAUGGGUGCUGGUGUACCUCAUGUGAGGGUUUUUCACCUUUAAGACAAGAUCCAAAUCAUACUGGUACAAGUAAACUCUUGUUGCAGGGAUGAGUUCAACCAUCUGAAACAAUAGAAAGGUGAAGUCUGCAUUACUGUAUACAGGGUUACCGGGUAUUUUUGCCCCCAUUUUAUUUUCACUUCAUUCGCUACCAUUUUCAAGGGGGUGAAUUGAACUAUUAAUUAUCGUGUGGCGUACCUGCCCAAUCCUUGCGCAGUUAUUCAGAAUAUUGUGGACACUCUGGAGUUGUGUAAUAUAGAGGGGAAUCUUCAGCCAGAGACUAGAGGACGACUUUCAAUCAAAUGAUUUCCUAUUUUGCUAAUUUUAAUUUUUGAUAUCGGAUUCACUGACUUAGCGUUGACGGUGGACACUGAUAUUGAAGAAAUCACACUGAUAUCGGACAUAUUUAUAGCUGAUUUGUCUGAAAAACAUACCAGGUUUUAAAAACCUAUUGAUGACCGAGAUCUGGAAAACUGUUGUCAGAUGCAAUUCGAUAGAACACGAACAAAAGUAUGGCCUUUCUCUUAAAGUAUUUGUUGAAUAUCCCCAUUGUCUGUUGCCACUGCACUAUGACUCCAGUCAGAUACAAUAUCAUAACCAUUCCUGUUCUCAGUGAUGUAUUUAGGAUCAAUAUACAGUGUGUGACGGUUGUUGUUAUGUUGAAUGGUCAGGACGUUCUGUCCACAACUAAUGUAUCCGAUUAUCUUUCCUGUACCUGUGUUAAACAUCCCGACCAUCAGAUCUCCAGUAGAGGGGAGUAGUACACACACUGUGGUCUCCAUGGUGAUAUACUUUGGAAGAGUCUGGUGGCUGUUCUUGUCCACAGACAGUUUGUUGGUGUUAAUCGCCAUAUAGCAUUGAUGUGUUUUACAUCCCAUGCAAGAAGUUAUGGAGGGUAUGUUUAUGACCAGUCAGUCAGUCUGUCCUGUUCUUUUCAGAGCAACUACUCUGAAACCGCUCAACAUAAUUUCAUGAAUUCCGUGUAGAGAAUAAGGAUUUCUUGUGUAUCAGAAUCACAGUUUCCAUCUGACUCUGUCCAUCCAUAGACAUGGUUUUCCAGAGUAUACCUUUCAAAAACAAAUGACAGAUUUAAUUAAAACUUUGUUGUAUAUCUGAUAUGAAUAAUGUAGUUGCGCACCUGCUAUUUUGAUGGAGAGUUUUUAAUAUUCAAGGAAGUUAUGGGCAUUUUUUCCAUUUUGAGGCAGUUUUUAAACUUGUCUUUUUUUUUUUUUUUUUACUACAAGCCCACAAGGCAAGUGAGAGUACGAAAUUUAGUAGCCCAAACAAAAUUUUAUUAGCUCAAAUUUUGUGUAAGAAUGAUUCGACGUGAUUGGAAAUUUCAAGUUUAAACAUUUUUAUCAAGUGUUCAACCUCUCUAAAAUUCAACGUCUACUAUUCGUUCAUUUCAUUGUCAGCUAACGUCUCCAUAUGAGUGAAACAUUCUCGAGUGAGACGUUAAGCAAGAUACAAUCAAUCAAUCAUUGUCAGCUUCUUCAGAAUCCUCUUUUUCUGAUUCAUCUAGUUCUUCAUCAUCAGUCUUAUCCUAUUAAGAAAUUUGAUGUAGAUGAAAAGUGUAGGAUAUGUACAAAAAUAUUUUGAAUUUGAAAAUUUGAAAAUUUACUUUAUUUUGUCAAAAAAUACAGUUUUAGUAGAAGGUAAUCUGGAAAAAAAUUAAAACCCCUGGUGGACUCGAACCUGCAACCUACAGUUCAGCAGUCGGUAUUCUAACCUACUGAGCUACUCGGCUAGGUAGGAAAAGGAAAAGUCAAAUAUUGCUGAUAUCGAUAUUGUCAUCCAUGUUUUUAAAGGAAGUCAGCCAUUAUGACGAUGUAGAGUACUACCUUAAGGUGGGUUUUUUGUCCUGGAUUUUUGGGGUUUAGGUAGCAUUUUUUUGUUUGGAAUCAAUAAAUUAACAUUCAGAGUAAUGAAAAAGGCAAAACAGUUAAGGGUUUCCAUAUUAAUUUUCAUUACAUACACCACUGAAGUCAUAUACCCCGAUGUAGAUUUUUAUGAAAUUCAUUGGAAACAGUUAUUUGUUGUUAUUUUAAUAUAAAAACAACAAAAUAUUUUUUGAAUUGUAUUUAUUUAUCGGGAAACAUGUCAAUAACUAAAACACAUGUCAUUUUCAAUAUGUUCAUCAAGUUCUAGAAUAAUAUGUGCAAAAUUAUUGAAUUAGCGUUAUUCCCCAAAAUGUUAAAAAACAAACAAAUGUGGACGCAUUUUCUUUAUAGCAUGGUUUACAUAUCAUGUUUUCUGUUUAUAUUAGUAGAGUUACAUCUGUUAUAGUUAUUCAUGGGGAAAAUCCAUACCUUUCCUUAAUAAUUUCAAAUCUAUAGCUUCCAGAUUAUGUAUACCCCCAUCAAAAACUGAAGUCUGGCACCAUACAGCUGAGCUAUUUAAAUCACUCGGGAUUAAAAUUGUAUGUAAUUUCAUGAAAAGACACAGAUAAUGAUUCCUUAUCACUUUGGUAAAAUGUUUGUCAAAAAUAAUGGAAAUCUAUCGCAUUAUGGACUUGAUAAAUAAUUGAAUGAAAACAGAGUUAUUGUCCUUGGAUUCAAUAUUUUGAAACAUAUCAUUGACUAUUCAAAUAUAACUAAGAAUUUUGAAAUAUUUUAUGGCUAACGAGAUUUUUUACAAUAACUAUUGAAAAAGAUUCCAACAAAAUUUAUGUUCCUAUCAUUAAAUUAUUGACUUUGCAAAAUCCUAUGACGUCACACGAGUGUGGAACUACGUUAAAAGUAAAAACUAGGAUUGUUAAAUAAUGCCUACACAUUCUGAACGUCUGAGGGCGUCACUUGUGGUUUGUACUUUGGGGCAAAAUGUUUAUGCCAUUUACUAUUUGUGUGCUCACUUACAAAAUCGAUUCUAAAAAAUGAUCCGAGCCAGCCACAUACUUACAAUUUGCAAUGUUUUCAUUUCUGCACCAUUGAUUGUAUUCUAACCACCCGCAUCUACAUGCGAAAGGAAAGCAUUGCGGCAACAACCCCAUUCCCAACCACAGCAUUUUCAUUUUGAACCAACUCUCAACUUUGACUCAUGAAUAAAAAUUGUCAAAGUUUCACUUUUAAUGAAUUGAUAAAAUCAAUUUAAGGAUGUUCUCUCCUGGUUUGAAUUCUUUCAAAAGUAUUGGAUGUUUUGGAUAACCGUUUUAAACUGAUACAUCUUUAUCAGAAAAGCAAUUCAAACAUAAAGAGGAGUCUAUUAGUGCAUAAUUUAAAUAAUUGGAGUCACUCAAGGUUUAACCCCUUUGCUGAAACUAAUUUUUUAUUCUUGAAAAUCACCAAUUUCUACAAGAAACACAAAUAAAAAAACAAAUAUUAAAGAAAGAAUAAUGUUGAUUAUCUUUUAUUUUAUGAAAAGCAAACAUAAUUGAUGAUUUUGAUAAUUGUCAUUCUACAAUAAUCAAAUAGGAUUUAACAUAAUUGGGUGGUCAAAAUCCUCAAUCUAGUAAGAAUAUCUGUAUCAAUCUUUUGAUUAGCUGCAGAACUGUAGCUCGCUGUAAAAAUAGUUUGACGGAACAGAGAGCUACAGUUCCACCCCUAAUAAAAACCUUCGAUUUACUGCGCACGGUAAAAACCUGAUAUUGUUGUAUUCUUGUGUUGCUGUCUCAUAAAUUUAAAUUGACCCCGCUACUUAACAUGGCUACGUCAACAAACGAAAUUAUUUGAAGCUGGGAGUUUUCGGGUCGUAUGGGGCUUUAAAGUUUUCGGGUCGUAUGGGGCUUUAAUGAAUAUCUGAAGGUAUGUUUGGCCACAACUAUGUAGGAAAAUAUGUUAAGAAUUUUUUUAUAUUAAAUUUAUGGGGUGGAACUGUAGCUUUCUGUUCUGUCAAAAUAUUUUUUCAGAGAGCUACAGUUCUGCAGCUAUCUUUAGAUGGAAUUGCCACUGUAGAUUUGGAUGUUUUUGCUUAACUUAAAUGAAAAAGAUGUUUUGGGUAGUGUACAUCGGAACAAAUAUUUAACCUAUUAUGUGUUCUUACCCAAUAACAAUUUAUGAUUUGUCAUUAAAUGCAUAUCCUUCAACUCUUAUUAACAAAUUUUUAUCAUAUGAUAAACGGUCAUACAAGAUAUACAUAAUCUAUACAUAUAUACAAUGCUAAUGCAUUUAUUACAAAAGAAUGUAUAAAACAUUACCUGCAGCAGCAUUUUCUAAUUUCCAUUCAUUGUGACCUUCAACCCUCUGACCUCAAAAUUAAUAGACAAGAUGUCUUCCCUUCUUUGUAUGUAUCUAUAUGUCCAAAUUUGGUUUCAAUAGAAUACAAAGUGCUUGAGUUAUUAUCCAGAAACCAGUUUUAACAGUCAACUUCCACGAGGAAGAGAUGUUCCCUUACUGGUAUGGUUUCUCUUACGAUGAUAGCACGAUUCAUCCCAUUCACAGUGGUUACCAAAUGCAUGUAGCUUAAAAGCCAACAUUGGGACACAAUUUCUAUCAAUACUGUUAACUCUUAACAAUCGAACAAAAGAUGAAUUAGGUUGAACUGUUCAUACACCAACUUCAACUAUAAACUUCAAUUUUUGUCCCGCUCGGGAUUGUUUUUUGAUACCUUGAUCAACAAAAUGGUUGAUCUAAAACAAUUUGUUAUGCAAGUGUUAUAUAUAUGAUUUUUAUUGUGCAGAAAUUACUGUUUAUGAAAUAUAUUCUGAAAUUUUAAUCAGAAUUCUUUUUUUUUUUUUCAAUACCCCAUAAAGACAUCUUAACGUUAUUAAAACUCUGACAAUUACACUUUGAAAGAAAAAUUAAAAUUAAUUUUUCAGAACUGAUCAGAAACAAAUUGUUGAUGUAAUCACGCAAUAGAAACAUAUCUAUACGUGUAUAUAGUCAACAAAAUUAUCAUUGUGCCCCGUUCGUGUACAACUUAGUUAAAACACCCCAAAAAAAAUGCACAUUAAAGGGGCAUGGACAUGGAUGAGCUGAAAAUUUUAUUUUUCCAUUUUUAAUGUUGACAAUUAAUGCCUAACUAACGUAUUUCUAAUGGUGAACCAAAAUUUGAAUAUGGUUUUUGAGUUACAAGUGAGAUACAGCAAGUUUUUAGUUAUAUAAACAAUUAAGGCUCGUGUCAUGUAUUUGUUUACAUAUAGAUUGCUUAAUAGAAAAUAGCAUGUAUAAAACAAAAUAAUUUGUGCUAAACACUAGAAACUAUUUGCUUGUGUUAAGAAUUAACUUGUAAAUUGAAUGAAGUAUUGCUUGUAUUUUUAACCUAUGUAAACAAAAAUAUGUCACGAACCUUGUUUACAUAGCAAGGAAUUGUGAGCUCUGUAUCUCCCAUGUACCUCAACAACUGACAUUCAUAUUUUUGCUGACCAUUAAAAAAUCUUAGUUAAGCAUUCUAAACAUUAAAAAUGGAAAAAGUAGCUUUGAAAUUUUUCAGCUCAAAUUGUGUUCAUGCCCAUUUAAUGUGUUACUUUGUGCAUACAAAAUAAAACACACGCAUUCCCAUGUUUACGACAUUAAACAGUUUGGAGACUCGCUGGCGGUAAAAUUACCACGUGGGUAAUCCAGCAAUGUAGUCCUGCUGGUCUCUUCACUCGUCAUGGAUGCUUAAUGAUCCACCAGUGUCUGUUGGAUUACACACUAGUAAUCCAGUCAAGUGAGGUCAUGUUUCACUCAAUUGCUGAGUAGUAUAUUUGCAGAAAUAUAAGUCUUGAUAUCGGAAACUAAGUCUGAAUUACAACAGAAGACCCAUGAGCCUUAUUAUUAACCUGAGUAUCGCACAAUGUACAGCAUGUUAGAUUCUGGUGUGUCAUGUGUUGAUAGUGCAAGUUCGGAAAUGGAUGUUCUUAUAGUUAGAAAUGAUUCUUUAGUUUUCCUGAUUCUGGUAUCAAUCUUAUAUUUGCAUGUUUGAGAGACAAAUAUAUCUCAAUGUUGCCCAGGAAAUGCAUUUUUUAUUUUAAAUGUAACUAAUACAUGAUUAUUUGUAAACAUCAUUAGAUGUUACAGUACAUACUUAGAUAUGUUCAUUUCCAAUGUUUUUGCCUAUUGAUAUCUUUACAAAUUGUAAUGAUGAUCAUUCCCUCAUGAUUGUCACUGUUAAAAACAAUGCACAUAUUAGUACAUAUAUAUAGGAGUCUGUGUAAUAUGUUUCACUAAAUUGAACUGCAAAGUAAUAAACAUGCAUUGUAUGAGUUAUAUAGGAUCUCCCAUUGUUUAGGGUUUUAUAUGAUUUAUAUUCAAAACGGGUAUAUGUGUUUUCUAUCCCCAAGCUUUGGCGAGGGGGGGGGGGGGGUGUAGGAAACACAACGAGUUGGAUAUAAAUCAUAUCAAACCACAAAUCAUGGAAGAUUCUUUUUAUCACAUGUUAACCCCGGGUUAUUAUGUAGGGAAUUUUGCUUCCUGACAUUUUGUAAACACGCAACGUAAAAUUCACGUUUAUUUGUGACGCCACAAACGGCGUAGGACUACAUUGUGUAGUAAUUGAAAUUUAAGUAAUAGGCGAUAUCCACUGGAUAAAGGAGUAAAUAAAAGUGAUAAAACUAUUAAUAGUUAUGUACAUUUUGAAUACCUAGCAUAUAGUUUAGUUGUCAGUCAGUACGGUCAUUGUUCAUAGGUUUAGUGUUUAAUUACCUAAAAUUCAGGGAUGAGGUAAAUGAAAAAUGUAAUUUUUGGCGUACAUGUAAUUGGCUGUAUUCUUAAUAUACAUGUACAUUAAAAGCAACUUCCAAGCAACACUUGAAAUUUACACGGAGCAUGAUGCAUUGUUGGUUUUUUUCCUAGGUAAUAUAGGGAUACUAAUGUUCAUACAUUGGGUGCAGCUGUACAUAUACAUGUGCUGUAUGUUCUGAAUUUGUGUAUUUUGUGCUAUAAGGCACUUGUGUGUGUAUUAUGUACUGUAGGGCAAUUUCAUUACUGUAACAUUGUCAUUGCAAUUGUUUCCAUGACCACAAUUAAAGAUAUCAUUACUAUAA